UUGAAUUUGACGUCGUCAUGGUGAGAGAAACAAUGAAAAGUGAAAGUAGCAAUACAGAGUUAUAAAUAGAUAAGAUAAAUAUAGAAAAUUAAAGUUUGUAUACAAUGUAACUGAGUUUGUUUUACUAUUAUAUGAUACAUGAAAUUGUUCUAAAGGCUUGGCAUCUAAUAGGACGAACUUCCCAUGGUUCCUACCACUUCGCAAGGCUUCUCUUCCAACCUGGCCAUAGUUGGAGGUUACUACUUCCCGGCGCGUCGGCAACAAUAGGAAGAUUAUGAUCGCCGCUGUGGAUAAUAAAAUUGUCAAAAACUGUUCCUUUGUUAAUUAUUUGGUGACUAUAUAAUUUUUGGAUCGUCUGCAGUAGUUGGUCUGUAU
rnacentral:lncRNA from 1 species